rnacentral:misc_RNA from 1 species
GAUAUCAACAGAUGGCUGAAGCUGGGGACAAGCACCCAAUAAGGUUUCAAGAGUUUGUAAGUGAUAUUCAUCAGGGAAGACUUGAAUUAUGCAAUCCAUCAAAUAGCCCUGAGCAAUCUCAUCUUUACAGUUGACAACCUGUGUCAGCAUAUUCACAUGCACAUUUGAAAUAUUAUCAGAUAGCACAUUAUGCCACCUUAGGUUUCUAAAUAAGGGGAAAAAGAAAGAAAUCAAUGAGGCAAGACCUACAUAAUCAGACCUGCUCUAAAAC